GAGAAUCUAGUUUAUUUUAAAAAUAAAAGCUUGUCAUGCUUUUGAUAUCAGUUACCUGAUGUUUCUCU
rnacentral:tRNA from 1 species